rnacentral:rRNA from 1 species
UACGAAGGGGGCUAGCGUUGCUCGGAAUCACUGGGCGUAAAGCGCACGUAGGCGGAUUGCUAAGUCAGGGGUGAAAUCCUGGAGCUCAACUCCAGAACUGCCUUUGAUACUGGCGACCUUGAGUCCGGGAGAGGUGAGUGGAACUGCGAGUGUAGAGGUGAAAUUCGUAGAUAUUCGCAAAGAACACCAGUCGGCGAAGGCGGCUCACUGGCCCGGUACGUGACGCUGAGGUGCGAAAGCGUGGGGAGCAAACAGG